CCCUCCCCUCCCUCCCCGGCGUUUUCCCCAGUCCCCUCCCCUUCCCUGCAGCUGCUCCCCUCCCUCGGACGCCCAUACCCUCCCCGGCGCUCCUUCCCCGCCGGCUCCGCCGCGGCCGUGCGGAGGCCAAUUACGGGCGGCCGCAUGCCGCGCGGGGAGGAGCGACGCGAGGGGCCGCGGGAUCACGGCGCCGGGGGCCAGGGGGUCACGGCGCGAGGGAUGGUGGGGCGCCCAUGGCGGCGGUGUGCCGGUGGCGGCAAGCGGCGAGGCCGCUGCGUGUGUGGUGCAAGGAGAGGCGACAUGGCGGCGACCGAGGGGCCGGUGCGCGAGGAGGGCCUCCAAGGUCCUCUCCUUCCCCGCGCGCAGGCGAGGCCCCGCGGCCCCCUACGGCCGUCGGGACGAGCGCCCCCUGCGGCCUCCGGCCCAGCGCCUCCUUCGGGCUCCGGCCGCGCUCCGCCUGCUGGCUCUGGCCACCGCCGGAACACGUGCAGCCUCCGGCCUUCGGCCACCGCCGGAACGCGUGCAGCCUCCGGCCUCCGGCCACCGCCGUGCCCGGUGACCUCACGCUGCGAAGAGCCGAGGCCGGGCCCCGCCUCCAAUCGCAGGAACCGAUCGAAGCCGCUUCCCACAGCUCCUCCAACACAGCAACUAAUCGUUGCCACAUCACACUGUUCAUGCUAAUGGGGAUUCCUGCUACAUCACACCCAGUCGAGAUCCACCCUGCUGCAGAUCCACACCGAGGCCACCGCAGAUUGAUGCCGAGAUCCACCCUGCUGCGGAUCCGGCCGGGGCCGCCGUCGCCCACGCCACGCCGUCCUUCGGCUGCCGGAGCUCCACGCGCCGUCGGGACAGGCAGCAGCACGCCCCGAGGCACCAAAUCCUAGAGGUCGUGGGCGUGGCUUCCAGGUCCAGGUCAGGCCUACAUCCAGAAUCUUGAGAUGAACCGGAUGAAGUUGGAGUAGCUAGAGCACGAGCUCCAUCGAGCCAGACAACAGCAGACCGAUCUGGCAUGGCAUAGUGGCCCCUUUCCUUCACGCAAGUGAUGGAGUAGGACCGAUUGAAGUGCAUCAGCAGGCGGUGGCGGUGGCCAUGAUGUGCAGACUUCCUAUCUGUUUUCCUCCAUUCACAUGUAGGUAAUGUGUUCUGGCCGGGCCGUGGUCGGCCGGCGCGGGAUCUGAGCCUCCAUUGAUGGACAUCUUUCAAACCUUUGGUUGCGUCGAUAUGGCUGUCUACCAGUAAAUAUUCUGUUUGAACUAAUUUGUGUGGUGGCAAAUCCUGUUAUUUAAAUCGUAGCACAAUUGUGUGAUGUGGGUUUCUUACAGAAGUCUUGAGCCAUGGAAUUCAUAUUCAUGCUAUAUUUGUGCUAUUCCUUGAUAUCACUAAUAUCCACUACUAUUGUAAUAGUUAAGCCAGAACAGUAAAAAUGUAUCAACCUAUCAUUGCAUUGUGAUAUAUCUUCCAUUUGUUUGGUGUAUCUUAAAUCUUGUGGUAUACCCAAAUAAGUCUUAAGUAUAAGACAAAGUAAAACAUAUUGUGGUUCUCCGGUUGUAAGUUCAUGUUCAUGGAGCUCCUGUAGAUGCAUUUGCUGUAAAUUCAUUUUAUGGUUUCAGAUCGACCAUUGCAAUGGGCGGGAUUGUUUAUUGUGUUUCCAUUUCCAUUCUUGAAAAUUAUACCUUUAUGUUUUUUGUGCUUUUCUGGCCAAUCAUUUCAUCAUUCUACAUAUGUUUGUUAAGAUGAACUCAUGGAGUCAUGGUAUAUUUGCAACCGUAUAUACUAUAUACAGCGUGAACUUGAUCAAUGAUGCUUCAUCGUAUAUACUAUAUACAGAUUUACUUGGAAUUAUUUUGGCUACUAAUUUUAAUUUCUAGACAAAUAUUUGUGUACUGAUAUUGCAGUAUAUACUUGUGCUAAUAGUCUAAUUGCUAUAUAUUACUUUAAGGAGCACUAUGCAGUUUUCAUUUUAAGAAUUCCAGUUAGUUAUUUGCCAUAUUCCUAUCAGGGUAACAAGCGAUCUUGUCUUAUCUGGUGGACUGCCAUAAGGAUUAGCAAUCCGGUACUGCUCCUCACUAUGAGUUAAAUGCCAUAAGGAUUAGCAAUCCGGUACUGCUCCUCACUAUGAGUUAAAUGCCAUUGUAAUUAAUCUUCUUCUUCCCUUUAUUUUUUUCUGGUCGUGCUGCAUUUUUGUCUCAAAAUCUUGAGUCCCAUUUUAACUUUGUUCCUAUAGUUUCCAAAACCAGGCCUCUGGUGGCCUCUGAUUACCAUUAUUUCAGAUCCUAUUGAUCUUUUAUGCCGAAUUCAGGUUAGCAAAUUCACAAACCUUGUGCCAAUCGACUUUUAGUUGGUUUGGAGAGGCUCAGCUUGUUUUGCAAAUAUGAUAGUCAUUUUAUCUACUGAAAAAAGUUAUUUUCUGACAAAGUUUCACAUUUUUAUUUCCUGAUAAAAUUUUGAUUAUGUUCUAUGGGGCUGUCAUCUCUCAGUCUGAAACCAAAAUUCACACAUCCACUGUUGGAUCCAGGAGGAACUAAGUUUAGACAAAAGGCUGGAGAUCUUGAAAAUAAGCUUCUCGAGAUGCAAAAAUGGUUUGAUGAAUUGUCACAGGAGACACAAGAAUGAGAAUCCAAAAUUUAAUCAACUUCAGGAGAUGAUCGAAAGGCUUGAGACAGGUUUAUCCAAUAUGGAAUCUGAAAACCAGGUUAUACGAUAACAAUCUUUGGUUGUUGCAUCAGCAGAUGAGGAGAAAUCAAAACAGAUAGAGAGACAGGAAAGCAAGAAUGCCAUCUUGGAGUCGGAAACCCAGUUGCUCGGCAGUAAUUCUGCGCUUGCUGUUCAGCCUGCGGCCAGACCUGAAAUGGAGGUAAAUGCUCAUGCUGAAAGAAUUUGCUCUCUGAAACAAAUCUUUUCUCAGAACAUUCGUAGCAAUUGUGGCACUUAGGUUUUGAGAGUAGCUGGCCCACAACACCACGCUGAAACUGAUUCCUUGUUCUGGCUUUUUUAUUGCGAUCGGAACAGUGCAAAACAUGUCCUGAUCCUUUGAUUGAUUUCAUGUGUUCGUUUUGAGUUGCUAGAUCCACAACUAGAGUCGUUAUCUUGCCAGUGAGAAGCCGGCUAAUGUGCCAUUGCCAAAAGCUUGUAAAUCGUGGCUGAUCGGACCAAACCAUGGGUGCAAAAUUUAUUGAUAUUGAACCUGGAAACAACUUUUUGAUGGUCAUUGGAGUGCUUGUAAAUCGUGAUACAAGUGCAUCAAAUCAUCACAUUUACUUUCAGUUCAUGUUAUUUUAUACAUUACAAUUUGUAACUCAUCAAGGAUCAUGUCAGACUGCUUUGAAGAGUGUGAUUGGACAAACAUCACAGAUUAGAUUUGAUUCCUUUGAAAUUAAUUAAUACUUUUUAAUUUUUAGUAGGCGUUUGAUACAAUCUAAUUAUUUUUAAAUAAUUUUUUUAAACACGUGCCAGGCACGUGCAUCUCCACUGGAGAACCAAAUUUUGUUCUUAGGAACCACAUUUUUUUAUAGAAUAUAUUUGCUAUGAUUGGAGAUAUGUUCUGAGAUUAUGAACAUCAUCAUCCUGGGUGAUAGUGUUUGCAAUAGUUCAACUGGAUAAUUGGAGAUGAUCGGGAUUAAUUAUGAAAUUUAACUCAGGUAAAUCUUCAUCUAUACACUGCAAUUAUAUUAACAAGUCAAUCAUUUGGAAACCCUGUGUUUAUGAAUUAUUAAGUAUAUACGGUUUAGUUGUCUUUUCUGCCUUUAUGAUGAGUAAACUGUAGUGCCCAAACAGUAUCUGUGUCAAGUAUAAUUUGGCGAUUCCCCUGUGUUGAGAUAUGUAACUUUUAGCAUGUGAAUCGUGCUCCUCCCUUGUUAAAAUGCUGUCGUUAAUCGAUCCGGUAGAUUGCUUCAAGCAUACAACUGAAAAAAAAAACUUUUUAGUGAAUAAACUCAAGUGUAUGAAAAUUUGAUGUGCUUGUGAAGCCCAAGAUUUAGAUGGACUGCAAUUUAGAUGCCUUUGAUUCUAAUGUCCCCGUCUUGCAACAUUUUUUUGUUUGACUUGAUGAUUUAAUGCUCAAUUGACCACUAUGUCUUUUCUAAAUAUUAUUUAUUAUUUCACAUGUUGUACCUUUUCAGGAGCAUUAUGCUUUAUGUGAGCAUUGCAUUGCAAGGAAGCGUCGGGACAUCAUGAAAAGCGUAGAGGGGUGGUAUUCUACUUGCAAUAAUGUUUUUUUCUACAAUUUUUUGUUUCUAUGCAUUGAAAUCGUUUCUUUGCCUAUUGAAUGGGUGGGCUAAAAAGAGUGUUUGGCACUCUACAUUGAGAUAUACUGUGGAAAGAUGGUCUCAAUCAUGUAAUAUGUGAUUAUUUGAACCGAGAGCUUGGAAGUAUUGAUAAGAUUGUACACUGACAAGCUAUUAGUGUUGGUAUUUUUGGUGUGCAAAAUUCACUUGAGUUGACUUGAUGUGCA